UUUAUUAUUCAUAAUUUUUAAAAAAAUAUGAAACAUAAUAGUAUCUAUCAUUCAUAAUUUAAACACAAAUUCAUUAAUGAAAUAUAAAUAUUUAAUUAAAGAAUAUCAUAAAAUAUUUUACAAAAAGAUAACGUUAAUAAUAUAUAAUUUUAAAAGAUAAUUGAAUACAAUAAAAUCUAAAAGAAAUAUUAUAAAAAACAUUAAGAUAAUAAAAAAAUAAUAUCAAAACUUUAAAAAUAAUAAUAAACAAUAAUAAAUAGAAUAAAGUAA
rnacentral:lncRNA from 1 species